rnacentral:rRNA from 1 species
AGGUGGGGACGACGUCAAGUCAUCAUGGCCCUUACGAGUAGGGCUACACACGUGCUACAAUGGCGCAUACAGAGGGCGGCCAACUUGCGAAAGUGAGCGAAUCCCAAAAAGUGCGUCGUAGUCCGGAUUGGAGUCUGCAACUCGACUCCAUGAAGUCGGAAUCGCUAGUAAUCGUGGAUCAGAAUGCCACGGUGAAUACGUUCCCGGGCCUUGUACACACCGCCCGUCACACCAUGGGAGUGGGCUGCAAAAGAAGUAGGUAGUUUAACCUUCGGGGGGACGCUUACCACUUUGUGGUUCAUGACUGGGGUGAAGUCGUAACAAGGUAGCGCUAGGGGAACCUGGCGCUGGAUCACCUCCUUAAACGAUGAU